UUAGUCUGCUCAAUGCAUUGGAACCUUCAGUUUUGAAAAACCCUAAACCCAUUCAAUUUCUUUCCUCCAUCUAUAAAGUCAUACUCUUCAAGGAACAUGCCAUCAAUAUUCUUCAUUUUAUUCUGUUCACUUUUGAGAUUUGCAAAUCUGUAAAUGACAAAGACAAAGAAAUUUUGAAAAAGUGAAAAGUGAAGUCUUGACGGUGGGCCUAUGAGAAAUUGAAAUAAAAAUGUUUGCAAAUAUGGUCAAUGAUAUUGACUAUGGGAAAACUGAUAGAUCUCUCAAGUUAUAGCUAUGGGUUUCUUCUAAAGUUCCUGAUGUUGAGAUCAUAAAUGAAGAACAUGUAACAUUAGCUCCAUUUGCAUUUUAUUUAGAAAGGAAAAUUAGACUGAGGAUGAGUCUCUGUGUAUUUUCAGAGAUUAUGUUACUGGCUUUCUUCGA